UGAAGCGGCAACAGCUCAAAUUUGAAAUCUGGCCCCUAGGGCCCGAGUUGUAAUUUGCAGAGGAUGCUUUUGGCAAGGCGCCGCCCGAGUUCCCUGGAACGGGACGCCGCAGAGGGUGAGAGCCCCGUCUGGCUGGACGCCGAGCCUUUGUAAAGCUCCUUCGACGAGUCGAGUAGUUUGGGAAUGCUGCUCUAAAUGGGAGGUAUAUGUCUUCUAAAGCUAAAUAUUGGCCAGAGACCGAUAGCGCACAAGUAGAGUGAUCGAAAGAUGAAAAGCACUUUGAAAAGAGGGUUAAACAGUACGUGAAAUUGUUGAAAGGGAAGCGCUCAUGACCAGACUUGGGCUUGGCGGAUCAUCCGGCGUUCUCGCCGGUGCACUUCGCCUCGCCCAGGCCAGCAUCAGUUCGCCCCGGGGGACAAAAGCUUCGGGAAUGUGGCUCCUCCGGGAGUGUUAUAGCCCGUGGCACAAUACCCUGGGGCGGACUGAGGUUCGCGCGUCCGCAAGGAUGCUGGCGUAAUGGUCAUCAGCGACCCGUCUUGAAACACGGACCAAGGAGUCGUCCUCGUAUGCGAGUGUUCGGGUGUCAAACCCCUACGCGUAAUGAAAGUGAACGCAGGUGAGAGCUUCGGCGCAUCAUCGACCGAUCCUGAUGUUCUCGGAUGGAUUUGAGUAAGAGCAUACGGGGCCGGACCCGAAAGAAGGUGAACUAUGCCUGUAUAGGGUGAAGCCAGAGGAAACUCUGGUGGAGGCUCGCAGCGGUUCUGACGUGCAAAUCGAUCGUCAAAUAUG
rnacentral:rRNA from 1 species